UCAGGACGAACGCUGGCGGCGUGCCUAAUACAUGCAAGUCGAGCGAGCAAAGUUAAAGGAAUACUUCGGUAGGAAUUUAAUAGCGCGAGCGGCGGAUGGGUGAGUAACACGUGGGCAACCUGCCCUUUAGCUUGGGAUACCACUUGGAAACAGGUGCUAAUACCAAAUAAGAAGUAAGAGCGCAUGCUCAAGCUAUGAAAGGCGGCUUUCGAGCUGUCACUAAAGGAUGGGCCCGCGGUGCAUUAGCUAGUUGGUAAGGUAACGGCUUACCAAGGCAAUGAUGCAUAGCCGAGUUGAGAGACUGAUCGGCCACAUUGGGACUGAGACACGGCCCAAACUCCUACGGGAGGCAGCAGUAGGGAAUCUUCCACAAUGGACGCAAGUCUGAUGGAGCAACGCCGCGUGAGUGAAGAAGGUUUUCGGAUCGUAAAGCUCUGUUGUUGGUGAAGAAGGACAUGGGUAGUAACUGAUCUAUGUUUGACGGUAAUCA
rnacentral:rRNA from 1 species